CACCAUUUUGGACUGUCAUACUCACAGUUACUGUGCAAAUCCAAGGUUUUUCAUUUGUUUUUCCCAGAAAAAUAAACACCAACAGACUCAGCAUAUGAUUAUUGAACCUCAAGUUCUAAGCCAAAAGAAGGCUCAAAAUAUAAGAAAGAAGAUACCUGCCCAAUGGGAGAGUGUACCCACAGAGGAGUCAGCUACUACCUGCACUUCAUGCAUCACCUUUGAAACUGAGGUCAGCUUUCUAAUUCAAAGAUGGGCAAAUAUUUAUGUACUUAAAAAAAAAAAAAAAAGUAAUAUAACUUGAAUGUGACAUUUAUUUUUACAACAGCAUUUCCAAGUUUUCCCAGCAAAAGGGAUCUUGUUUCAGUACACGCUUUGUCUGCUGUGUGACGGUUUGCUAGAAAACCUAUACUGACAGGCCUCUGUAGUACAAACGAGGCUUCUAGUUCAUUGGUACCUGCCAGCCAAAAUAAUAUACAUGCAAAUGCCUUAGCACCCAAAUCAAGCUGCACAGCUGUGUUUUGGAUGAAGGACAGGAGAAAUCUAGAUUUCAGAGUCAAAUUCCACUCUUAGUUUUGCUUAAACUUUUCAGCAAGAAAUCCCACCAUAAAAAUAAUCUUUCAUAAGAAAAUUGUCUUCUCAGUAUAAUUCUCAGUAUAAUUAAUAGACAAAUUUACUGAUCCUUUCCUCCCCCCCCAGCUAUCCUACUGAAGGCAGUUUGCAAGUUUUGUAAUAAAUGGCAAAAAAAGUUUCA
rnacentral:lncRNA from 1 species